GUUUGCUUCUCCCCAUCUCCACCCAGCAUGGAUGGAGAGAAGAAUGGUCUCUCCCUCUUCUGCCAGAAGACAAUUGCAUGACUUGCUGUAAAAUCCUGCCCUACCCGGUGUGUCAAGUAGAGGGACUGGAGGGCACAGAGCCCUUGUUGCUACAGGAGCACAUCCACAAAACUAGAUGCAGCUGUGAGAUAAUCCAGGCAGUAUCCAUCCAAGGUGCUGGGACACGCAAAAGAACUGCACCUGAACCUGCCAUGGAGCAUGCCACAAAUGCGCUGCCUUCAGUAACAGAGACAAUGGAACUACAGCCACCUCAGACACACAGUUCGGCUUUCCCCUGGGAAGGACAGUCAGACUUCAGCUUUAAUUUAUUAGUCUCUAAGGUGUCCAAAUACUCCUGUUCUUUUUGCAGAUACAGACUAACAUGGCUGCUACUCUGAAACCUGUCAGAGUACAUGGGCAUUUCAGGUUUAUCUCUUCAGUGUGGAUCAUAUUCUUCAGGCCAAGCAGCUUCUCAGAGGAUACAAACUCCCUGCCUCAUCCAAGGAGGACAACCUUUGGCUUCAGAAGUGGCUGGCAUGGUGCAUCAGCAUGUUCAUGUGUCUUGUACUUCAUUGCAAGGCUUUGCAACUCUCCCUAUGCAUCUUCCAGAAGCAACAGACUUUUUUGAUCCUGCAACAAUGGCUUCACUCACGACCUUCAGCCCUACAUCCCAUUACUUUAUUGAGAAGCUCCUUUCUUGGUCAAGCAACCCAUUCCCUGUGCAGCCGCCCCAAACUCCUGUAGUCUCUGUGGUUGCUCCUUUCCAAGAGCAUCCCCUGACUUCCCCAUUGGAGACAUCUCCUCCAAUUCCUAAUGUAAGGCACAAAUCUUUACCUUCAAACUUGAGUGACAACACUGGGCUAAAGGGUGAAGAAGGCUGUGAGUUUGGACUACUUAAUGGCAGGUGAGGAGGACCCUCCAGGAAUAGAGCACCCAAUCUCCCAAAUCAUUGACAGAUGUGGGGCCUCGACCUUCUCUAGAGCUACAUGUGCAGAGUUCCAGAGCCCCACUAGCAACUUUUGUACAACACCAGCCCCUCGACAGGUGGAUGUGCCAGAUCUUCUGGCUGUGGAGAAACAGAAAGGAGCAAAGUCAUAAAACCAAUCAGAGGAUGUUGUCCUUGAUGUGUGCAAUAAAAGAGAGGCAGAAGGGUAUGCAGGCAGAGCAACAAGCACUUCUCAUGGUUUUCCAGGAUAUCCAUAAAGAGUCAGUUAGCAGUGGUCAGUCCAUCCACAAAGACCUACCCCAGUUUGAUGGAUCUUGCUCCCCUUCUUGUUCUCAGCGCAGAGGACCACAAACGAGGGGGUUAUCUCCAGAGUCUCAAAGUGAACAUCUCAGAAUCUGGGAGAGCAAGAGACUGGCUCCGAAGGCAAUGCAAGUGUGGGAGCUCCCAUCUGGUCUGCAGAAUCAAAAGGACCAAUCUGGCAAUGGAACACACACAGCCAUUAGGGACUGCACCUUGAAAUGGUAUUCAGGAUGGCUCCAUUCAGUUCAAGCUCCUGGAUGAGCCAUCCUCAUUAAGUGAUACCUACUGUAUUGCUCAAGUAUCAGAGGGGUAGCCGUAUUUGUUGCUUUUUACAGAUCUAGACUAAGAGUCCCGUGGCACCUUAUAGACUAACAGAUGUAUUGGAGCAUAAGCUUUCAUGGGUGAAUGCCCAUUUCGUUAGACGCAGUAACUAGUGCAUCCAGCUGCCAUGGUGGGGUUGUUGUCUUUGGGCAGAUCUACAUUUACUUCCUGGUCCGGCCGUAAGCAAUCGAUCUUCUGGGAUCGAUUUAUUGCGUCUUGUCUAGACGUGAUAGAUCGAUCCCAGAUCGAUCCCGGAAGUGCUCGCCGUCGACGCCGGUAUUCCAGCUCGGCAAGAGGAGUACGC